GGCUGACGUACAGGUGACGUACUGUCGUCUGUGACACGUUCGCUUCCUAUUCUGCUUGGCCUUGUAUAAACACUGUGGUCCACUGGGAACAAAGACACCCGUGUGUGACACUUGGAUGCAAAAGUAGGGAUAAAAUGAUCAUACAACAAAUAAAAAGAGCAAGUUUCACCGGUUCUCUUCUCCAAUCAGACUUUUUCAUCUUCCGUCUUUCUAAUUCUUCUCAAUGUCUUUCUCACUUUUUCCGUUUACCGCUGGGCUGAAUGAUUCAUCCUGACAUUCACAUAAGAUUUAAAUUAUUUUACAAAAUUAUGUAUCAGAAUGAGGGGACUUCUACAGUUCUGCAAUGAAUAUGAAAUGCAUGAAUGAAAUCAAGACGGACUGCUUCUACUAAGGUGUCUCUGGAGUUUACGUAAGAAUAAAUGAAAUUACCUAUACUGCGUCAAAAAGUGUGAAUAUCUAAUGUGAGUAUCCUUCAACAAUCUCCUUUCUUGAACAAAAAAAUCUAUAGCAACCAGUGCUUCAAUAACAAUUUUGUAAAUUAAUCACAACUGCUAUUCUUGGACAUUUUUAUUGAAUGACCCUAUGAGAUUUUUGAGGUUUGUUUUUGCCUGUUGAUGAACUUGUAAGGCUUGAAUGUGCUUGUUUAUCUCUCACCCACUGUAAGCUGUUUUCUGUUGACCUCUCCAGCGAUUACAAGGUACUUUAGGCAUAGGCGAUGAAGAAGGAGAGGCAGACAAAAAUGGCAUCAGGCUGUUUACAAUCUGAGUCAGCUGGGCACUCUAAACACAUAUAGAAACAUGAAUUAAAUACAGUUUUAAAUGAACAAAUUACAUUUUUAUCUGGUCUUUUUGUAUGUUCUUGUCGCCUGUGGGUUUUUUUCGAUUCACCUGUCUUUCAAUGUUCCUCAGAAGGCGUGUGGGGCUGCUGGGUUCCAUCUCUAGAUCAGAGUGCAAAUCUCGCAUGUUCCCAGCUGUGAAUGAAAGAUGCAUAGUCUCUGUCCACAAGAGUGGCCGAACAAAUCUCAGCGAGGGACAUGAAAGCUCUGAUCUAUGGGAUGGUGAAGGGUGGCCCGAUGUCUAUUUAUUUACUCAUCCCGGGGAAAGGAGAGUACAGCCGUCUGCUUCAGUAUGGAAGCACAGAAACAGGAUCAGAGGACAAGCCAGCUGCACGUGAACACACUAGAUAAAAAUCUUCAACAUGGGGGAGAAAUAUGGUGACAAGAAUAGAAUAGAGUGCCUCUGUUAUGUGAUCAGAGAUCAUAAAGAAAAGGAUCUCUAGACAUAUUGUUUGUAAUAUGCAUUCAGUCCAGCAGGUGGGACUAGAACAAUUGAAUAAAGAGCUGGAACAAGA